rnacentral:rRNA from 1 species
AUUGAACGCUGGCGGCAUGCUUUACACAUGCAAGUCGAACGGCAGCGCGGGGCAACCUGGCGGCGAGUGGCGAACGGGUGAGUAAUAUAUCGGAACGUACCCAGAAGUGGGGGAUAACGUAGCGAAAGUUACGCUAAUACCGCAUACGAUCUUUGGAUGAAAGUGGGGGACCUUCGGGCCUCAUGCUUUUGGAGCGGCCG